UCAGUCUGAAUGAUAAUUUAGGAAUAUUCAUUGAGUUUAGUAUUCUGGAGAGAGUUCAAGAGUAUGCUGAACAGAUUCAUCCUUCAGCAGGUAUUUUUCUGUGGGAGAAGAUGAACACCAGCUGCAUGGCCGUGGUUAGAAAAUAUCUUCCCUGCCUACUAAAGAGAAAAUUCUGUGGCAAAUACAUAUAAAAAAAUAAUGAUAGAAGAACCAUUCAGCAGUUAUACUUAGAAAACUCAAUGGUUCCCAAUUUUUUUUUCCCACUGUGAGUUUGAGCCACAAUCCACAUUCAUGCUGUCCAGUUCUGGUUACAUCAUUUGUUUGCAGUCCAUUGGAUUCAAAACUCAAAGUAAGUGCCCUAAAAAGCUGCCAACAGAAGAAGUGGGUGGAGAGCUGCACACAGAAC
rnacentral:lncRNA from 1 species